rnacentral:SRP_RNA from 1 species
GCUGGGUGUGGUGGCUCACACCUGUAAUCCCAGCACUUUGGGAGGCUGAGGUGGGUGGAUCACCUGAGGUCAGGAGUUCAAGACUAGCCUGACCAACAUGGAGAAACCCCAUCUCUA